CUGCAAAGAAGGUACAUGCCCUUGACUGGAAUUGAACCUGGGACCCUUUAGUCCUCAGGCCGACGCUCUAUCCAAUGAGCCAAACCAGUCAGGGC